GACGAACGCUGGCGGCGUGCCUAAUACAUGCAAGUCGAACGGACAGGCCCUGCUCUUGUGCCGUGCUCGUGUGCCGAACGCGUGAGUAUCACGCGUGUAACCUGCCCUUGACUUUGUGAUAACUUCUGGAAACUCGGGCUCAUACCGCAUAUGAUCUCCUGCUGCAUGGUGUUGGUUGGUAAGUUUCGGCGGUUGGGGCUGGACUCGCGGCUUAUCCGCUUGUUGGUGGGGUAGUGGCUUACCAAGGCUUUGACGGGUAGCCGGCCUGAGAGGGUGACCGGGCACAUGGGGACUGAGGGAGGGACCAGACGCCUACGGGAGGCAGCGGGGGAGAGUAUUGCGGAGUAGGCGGAAGCGUGAGACAGAGACGCCGCGUGCGGGAUAACGGGCUUCGGGUGAUAAACCGAUUUGGAAGGUGAUGAAGAGGGAGUGACGGUAAUGGGUAAGGAAGCAACGGCUAACUACGUG
rnacentral:rRNA from 1 species